UUAAAGUUUUAUUCUUGCUUAGAGAUUAAUUUAAUGAAUAUUUUAUAUGUAAAUUUUUGUGUGAAUAUUAAUUAUCUAAAUGAUUAUAUAUAUUUAUUCGCAGUAUUUAGUUUUAGUAAAUUGAAGAAAUUUAGAAUUAGUAAUUUAUUAUAGUAUCGGCAAAAGUCGUGCCAGCUGCCGCGGUUAUACGGAGGAUACAAAUUAAUAUUUUUAGUUGAAAGUUUAUUUUUUUUUUGUGAAUUAAUUUUUUAAAUUUUUAGGUAAAAUUUUAAAUUUUAAUUAUAUUUCUUAUGAAUUAAAUGAGGCUUUGAAACUUUAAUUUUAAACUAGGAUUAGAUACCCUAUUAUUUAAAGUGUUAAUUAAUAUAGGCUUGAGUAGUAAUAGUUAAGUUCUUGAAACUCAAAGAAUUUGGCGGUGUUUUAGUCUAUUCAGAGGAAUCUGUCCCGUUAUCGAUAAUUCACGAAUUAUUUUACUUAAUUUGGUAUAAUCAAUUUGUAUACCGCCGUCAUCAGAUUAUUCUUUUAGGAUAUUUUCUAUAAAUUUAAUUGAAUUGUAUGUCAGGUCAAGGUGCAGUUUAUAAUUAAGUGGGAGAUGGAUUACAAUAAAAUUAUUUAUUAUGGAUAUUAAAAUGAAAUUUUUGAUUUAAGGUGGAUUUGACAGUAAUUUUAUAGAAUUUAUAAUUUGAUUAUAGCUCUAAAACAUGUACACAUCGCCCGUCGCUCUCGUUAUUAAGGCGAGAUAAGUCGUAACAUAGUAGAUGUACUGGAAAGUGUAUCUAGGAAGUUUA
rnacentral:ncRNA from 1 species